rnacentral:rRNA from 1 species
UACAGAGGUCUCAAGCGUUGUUCGGAUUCAUUGGGCGUAAAGGGUGCGUAGGCGGCGCGGUAAGUCGGGUGUGAAAUCUUGGAGCUUAACUCCGAAACUGCAUUCGAUACUGCCGUGCUUGAGGACUGGAGAGGAGACUGGAAUUUACGGUGUAGCGGUGAAAUGCGUAGAUAUCGUAAGGAAGACAGUGGCGAAGGCGGGUCUCUGGAC